GGGAUAACUAUUGGAAACGAUAGCUAAUACCGCAUAAGAGUAGAUGUUGCAUGACAUUUGCUUAAAAGGUGCAAUUGCACCACUACCAGAUGGACCUGCGUUGUAUUAGCUAGUUGGUGGGGUAACGGCUCACCAAGGCGACGAUACAUAGCCGACCUGAGAGGGUGAUCGGCCACACUGGGACUGAGACACGGCCCAG
rnacentral:rRNA from 1 species